CUGGGAGUGGAGGAGGCGGCGGCGGCGAUCCGGAGUCUCCGCCUCGGCAGCGGCAGCGGACGCGACCGCCGCGGUCUCAACCCAGAAGGCCCCUGCGCCCCACUAGCCAUCCGUGUCCCCCGUGCGGCUGAGGAGGCGGCGGCGGCGGCGAGAGCCGACGGGACGAGGGCGCCAGAGGAGCGGCGGCUCCGAGCGGCAAUGACAUUCCCCCUCCUCAAGCCCGCCCCGCCGUGAGGAGCACAAAGGGGGAGGAGCCCCCUGGAGUCCGGGCGGAGCUCAAGACACCUCUGACUCCGCCCCCUCGCCCAACAGGAACUGGCCCCUCCGCCUGUCACAGAGCGACAGGCUGCUUGGAUGGCUCUGUCUUAUUGCAGAUGUUCCCUGUUGGGUCUGCUGAUACCUGCUGCUUCCUCUUGGCUCUUGGCUGGAGGCCUGGUCUGAAAGGCAGUAAAACCUGUGUGGGCCACGCUUUCUACCUCUUAAAGUCAACGUUAAUCUUUGUGUGGUGUCUGUCUGGUAGCCUCCAAUCCCCAGAGAGGAGAGUGAAGCAAAGUGGCAAAAACUGAGUCAUGAGUCUGCACCAGCUUAAAUCUCCUGCCAAGAUACCGUGGCGCAAGAUGGUUCUGAAGACACCUCCAGGUACCAUCCUAACUCGAUUCUCCUCAGGUCCGUUUGGUAAAUCACUUCACCCCCCAUGCCUCGGUGUUUAUGGACUAUCCCUUCCUAGUACGGUGCUGUUCAGAAAGAGAAAACCAACACAUGAAAAGAACUUGAAGCCAUGCCAGGUGCAGAGGGGAGCAGUUGCUCUGUGUUGGUUAUUAAUAGUGUCAGUGGGACCACUG